rnacentral:tRNA from 1 species
GGAGAGUUGGCUCAGUGGUUAAGAGCACUGACUGCUCUUCCAGAGGACCUGGGUUCGAGUCCCAGCACUUCCA